rnacentral:rRNA from 1 species
AUACCAAUGCAGAGCUUUCAAAGUUUUGCAAUUGGAAUGAGUACAACGUAAAUACCUUAACGAUCACCAAUUGGAGGGCAAGUCUGGUGCCAGCAGCCGCGGUAAUUCCAGCUCCAAUAGCGUAUAUUAAAGUUGUUGCAGUUAAAGCGCUCGUAGUUGGAUUUCUGGGCUGGCGCAGUGGUCCGCCGCAAGGUUGGUACUGCCGGGCCGGCUCAUCUUCUCGAAGACUGUAUGCUCUUAACUGAGUGUGCAUGGAUUCGGGACCUUUACUUUGAAAAAAUUAGAGUGUUCAAAGCAGGCUUACGCUUGAAUACAUUAGCAUGGAAUAAUUGAAUAGGAUUUCGGUUCUAUUUUGUUGGUUUCUAGGACCAAAAUAAUGAUUAAUAGGGACGGUUGUGGGCGUUUGUAUUUCAUAGUCAGAGGUGAAAUUCUUAGAUUUAUGGAAGACACACAACAGCGAAAGCAUUCGCCAAGGAUGUUUUCAUUAAUCAAGAACGAAAGUUAGGGGAUCGAAAACGAUUAGAUACCGUUGUAGUCUUAACCAUAAACUAUGCCGACUAGGGAUCAGUGGAUGUUUCUUUAUGACUCCAUUGGCACCUUACGAGAAAUCAAAGUUUUUGGGUUCUGGGGGGAGUAUGGUCGCAAGGCUGAAACUUAAAGGAAUUGACGGAGGGACACCACCAGGAGUGGAGCCUGCGGCUUAAUUUGACCCAACACGGGGAAACUCACCAGGUCCAGACAUAGUGAGGAUUGACAGAUUGAGAGCUCUUUCUUGAUUUUAUGGGUGGUGGUGCAUGGCCGUUCUUAGUUGGUGGAGUGAUUUGUCUGGUUAAUUCCGUUAACGAACGAGACCUUAACCUACUAAAUAGUUACGUGAUUCUCGAAUCACGGGCAACUUCUUAGAGGGACAAUUGGCGUUUAGCCAGUGGAAGUUUGAGGCAAUAACAGGUCUGUGAUGCCCUUCGACGUUCUGGGCCGCACGCGCGCUACACUGAUGGAGACAACGAGUAUAUAACCUGAUUUGACAAGAUUGGGUAAUCUUUUGAGCCUUCAUCGUGCUGGGGAUAGACCUUUGCAAUUUUCGGUCUUCAACGAGGAAUUCCUUGUAAGCGUUGUUCAUCACACAGCGUUGAAUACGUCCCUGUCUCUUGUACACACCGCCCGUCGCUACUACCGAUUGAGCGAUUUAGUGAGGUCUCGGGACUGGCGGCCGGGAGCUGGCAACAGCACCCGACUGCCGGGAACCUGCU